rnacentral:rRNA from 1 species
GACGAACCACACGAACGUUAUCCGGAAUUAUUGGGCGUAAAGGGUGCGUAGAUGGCUUGCUAAGUUAGCCGUGGGAAAUCGAGGCUCAACCUCGUGGAAGCUGGUAAUACUGUCAGGCUCGAGUGCAGGAGAGGUUAACGGAACUCCAUGUGGAGCGGUAAAAUGUGUAGAUAUAUGGAAGAACACCAAUAACGGCGAAGGCAGUUAACUAUUCUGUUACUGACAUUGAGGCACGAAAGCGUGGGGAGCAAAACGG